GCGAGUCACAUGUCCAGUGUUUGUGUUAGCGUUACCAGAAGGUCCGGGAAGAGUGUGUGUUUCAGUGAACCCACCGGUCACUAACAGCGUGGAUUUUGUUAUGAGGAGCCAAGACUUGGCAGAGAGACUUGCAAGACCAAAAAAAACAUGAACGAUGUGCUAGUAUAAGGGCUGAGGAUGUUGAACCAGUGGCAGUUGGUGGGCUGUAGAAAGGGUGACACCAGGAAGGGGAGAUUGAGCUAACCGAGUGUUGAGCUGAAGGAAACGCUGUGGAAACCACAGAGAAGCUGCAUACGCCUUGGGCAGUGUGUCGCCUUUUGUAGUUUCAUUUUGUCGUCUUGUUUUAGAAUGUGUCAUAAUGAUGUAUUGCUCUGGAACAUGCUCUGCAUCCUUGAAAUACUUGGUUCUCGUGCAGCCUGAUGGUUAUCUGUUUUUAUUUUCUUCAUGAAGCUGCAUCUCUUUAGACUAGCUGAGUAUGUACCCUGUAGGGCCAUUGUUAAAGCAAUCUUGAUUAUUUUCAAAUCGC
ensembl:lncRNA